rnacentral:rRNA from 1 species
GACGAACGCUUGCGGCGUGCCUAAGAAAUGCAAGUCGAGCGAGGUUUAGGCUUCGGCCGACGACCUAGCGGCGAACGGUCGCGUAACACGUAAGCAACCUGCCCUAAAGUUGGGGAUAGCCCGCCGAAAGGCGGAUUAAUACCGAAUGUGGAUAUGUAUUCGCAUGUAUAUAUAUCUGAAGCAGCGAUGCGCUUUAGGAUGGGCUUGCGGCCUAUCAGUUAGUUGGUGUGGGUAACGGCCUACCAAGACGACGACGGGUAGCUGGUCUGAGAGGAUGGUCAGCCGGAUUGGGACUGAGACACGGCCCAGACUCCUACGGGGGGCAGCAAUUAGGAAUCUUGCGCAAUGGGCGAAAAGCCUGACGCAGCGACGCCGCGUGACUGAUGAAGUCUUUCGAGAUGUAAAGGUCUUUUGUUGGGGUACGAAGGAAGUGACGGUACCCGACGAAUAAGCCCCGGCUAACUACGUG